rnacentral:lncRNA from 1 species
UUAGAGAUAAAUUUGUUUAUAUUUAGCUAACUUUAUUUUAAAAAGUUAGUAAAUUUUUAUGCUUCUUUCAGAUGUAUUAUUUGCAGGAAUUAGAAACCAAGACAAAGUCUAUUUCGCUUUAUACCUUCUACAACCUGUUGUGCACCCUCAAAUUUGUCUUUUUUUUUUUUUUAGAAUUCAUAAUGAUUUUUUUUUCAUUAUAGCUCGUUUACAUGUUCUGUCAGUUUUCUCCUGUAUAGCAUGAUGACUCAGUUACACAUACAUGUAUACAUUUCUUUUUUCUCACAUAAUCAUGUUCCAUCGUAAGUGACUAGGCAUGAUCCUGCUGUGUAUCACUGAGAACUAUGUCUAGAUACUUACAAUUGAGCGUGACAGUGGGAGAACAAUUAUGUACACGUGUAUAUGUAACUGGGUCCCCAUGCUCUACAGUGGGAAAAAAAAUCGUGUUGGGGAAAUAAUAAUAAAAAAAAUGCAUUUUCGAACUUAAAAGUACAAUAGCUAAAAUAGAGAAUUCAUUAAGUAGUUUUAAGAAUAUCUUAGACUGUGCCAACAAAAAUUAUUGAACUUGAUGUCAGCUAAGUUGAUAAUACCGAAAACUGAGUACAGAGACAAAAAAGAAUGGAAAGAAUAAAAGUUAGUAUAAGAGAUAUGUGGAAUACAGUCAAGCAAUCAAACAUGUAUUUAAUUAGUAAGAGAAGGAUAGGAAUUAGAGAAUGGGGCAGAAGCAAUAUAUGAAAAGAUAUAGCAGUCAAGAAAUUCCUAAAACUAAUGACAGUCAUCACUCCAAACAUUAAAGAAGCUUGGUGAGGGAGUCCUUUCAUGGCUCAGCAGUUAACAAACCCAACUAGGAUCCAUGAGGAUGCCUUGAUCAGUGCAUUUGGGAUCUGUCAAUGCCAUGAAGUGUGGUUUAGGUCACAGACGUGGCUUGGAUCCCAUAUUGCUGUGGCUGUGGUGUAGGCUGGCAGCUGUAGCUCCAGUUUGACCCCUAGCCUGGGAACUUCCAUGUGCCGCAGGUGCAGCCCUAAAC